UACGGGGGGAGCAAGCGUUGUUCGGAUUUACUGGGCGUAAAGCGCACGUAGGCGGAUCUUUAAGUCAGAGGUGAAAUCCCAAGGCUCAACCUUGGAACUGCCUUUGAUACUGGGGAUCUUGAGUCCGGGAGAGGUGAGUGGAACUGCGAGUGUAGAGGUGAAAUUCGUAGAUAUUCGCAAGAACACCAGUGGCGAAGGCGGCUCACUGGCCCGGUACUGACGCUGAGGUGCGAAAGCGUGGGGAGCAAACAGGG
rnacentral:rRNA from 1 species